rnacentral:lncRNA from 1 species
UUUUUUAGUACAACCCUCGAAUCUUGAUCAAGUCCAUAUACACAGUAUACAUACAAUGUAUUUUGCUUCCAAUUGCAAUCUAGUUUUGUCACCCUUUGUAUUAAACUAACUUCGUGAACAGACGAAUGAGUACUAAAGUGAAAGAAAAAAAGUCAGUAGAAACUGGAUAGAAAGACCCACAUUGUUACGUUCUAAUAAAUUAGAUAUGAAUUGGGGUUACUGGCGCAUUAGCUUAGCCUUGUGUUGAUCAUCCAACCUUGACAAAUGAUCCAGCAAACUUCAAUUUCCAGAAGCUGAGAAAGUUAAAGCUUGUCUAUAACCCCGAACCAGCUGCAGUGACAACAAUUAUAAGAUACCUUAGGACUCGUAACUCAAGAUCACAGCAGUAAGAAGAACAGACCCAACUUAACCGUUCCGCAGACUUUUUAAGUCCACAAUGUAAGAUAACAUUAUUCAUAACCUUAGAAUGCAACAGUUUGAUUCUUCUCUGUCUGUCUAUCUGUUGCCAGAGACUUAGUUUCAUACGAAAGCAUUCAAAUCUACUUAGUUGAAUUUGUCUAAUGGUCCAUGAUCACAGUCUAUCUUUCGAAAUAAUCGUCAAUCAAACCAAGCUCAAUUUCCUCUGUAACGGGUCAUACCAGCUCAUACGCAUUUCUAAAUUCAAUAAGGCUAAUGUAAAGGGCACAAUCUAACUAACCUAGCUAAGCUGAUGAGUAAACAAUACUUAGAUGCUAACUAUCGAAAAUUCCACGUCAACACUGAUGCUAGCUAUGUCAAAUGGUGUUUGAUGCUAAACAUGUCUUACCACAGCAAACUGAUAAACUUGUUCCCGUACCCUGAUUCUUCUGUCUAACGCACAGCAUUUCAAACAAGAAAAUGUCAUGUCCCAGGUACACAACAGUAGUCCGUGCAAAUUAUGGAUGGAAAGUUCAACAUAAUGUUUUCUGCAGACCUCGUUCUCUCUAUAGAUGGCUCAAGAGGGAACUGGACGAACAAGGUUCAUUGAUUCCAUUAUAGUGUAUUGAUACCAACUGUGUAUGAAGAUGUCGAAAAGAUGUAAAAGGGAAUAUGAUACCAGAAGCAGCUGCUCCACAAACUACUCCCCAAAACCAAUGGAGCCCAUGUUACUGGUUUUGUUAAUUGAAAACAAGAGAUAUUCUUCUUCGUCAAAUCCUCAAUCGUCGAUGAAGAGGAAACUUACAAUUUCCUUAGCAGCUCCCCUUAUGCCAAAAUAGAUUAUUGAAGCUAGAACCCACUAUCGGCGGGCGCAUAAUUCUCAGCUACUCUAACCGUAAGAACCCAAGAGAUUCCGAGAGAUUUUGUAAGCUUUCAGACGCUACAUUAGGCUCCCAGGAGGUAGGGAUUCGUCG